UGGUGUCCUCAAAUUGAAGCCAAGGAAG
rnacentral:piRNA from 1 species